rnacentral:rRNA from 1 species
GAUGAACGCUAGCGAUAGGCCUAACACAUGCAAGUCGAGGGGCAUCACAUGAAGUAGCAAUACGGAUGGUGGCGACCGGCGCACGGGUGAGUAACACGUAUGCAACCUGCCUUCAACAAGGGGAUAACCCGUUGAAAGACGGACUAAUACCCUAUAACACAGGGGUCCCGCAUGGGGAUAUUUGUUAAAGGACAACCGGUUGAAGAUGGGCAUGCGUUCCAUUAGCUAGUUGGCGGGUAAGGCCCACCAAGGCAACGAUGGAUAGGGGAACUGAGAGGUUUAUCCCCCACACUGGUACUGAGACACGGACCAGACUCCUACGGGAGGCAGCAGUGAGGAAUAUUGGUCAAUGGACGCAAGUCUGAACCAGCCACGUCGCGUGAAGGAAGACGGCCCUACGGGUUGUAAACUUCUUUUGCAAGGGAAUAAGUGGGCCACGUGUGGCCUUUUGCAAGUACCUUGCGAAUAAGGAUCGGCUAACUCCGUG